ACCUGGCUGGCUCAGUCAGUAGAGCAUGUGACUCUUGAUCUCAGGGUCAUGAGUUCAAGCCCCAAGUUAGGUG
rfam:Canis lupus familiaris chromosome 27, whole genome shotgun sequence.